UCCAUUGCCGGUCGCUGAUGCUCGCGUGUCGCGCUAUUCGAGGACCCCAUGCGCCGAGAGCGUACAGUUGCGUCAGACAUCCACGGGUCGGUAUUAGUGUGCGCAGAGGCUUAUCCCCGUGGAUGCAGCAUCCCUGACAUAUGGGCAACAAACUACCGGAAGUGUCCUGACUCACGGUGAAGCCGGACUCCACGCUACUUCGGCGCCGUCUCCAAAAGAACGUCAUGGCUGUUCCACGCAGUUCUCGAAGCGGCGUGCACUCUGUCGAGGGAGAACAGUGCGUUGACGCUUGCAACUAACGGCAAAAAAGACGUGAGCCGAGACCGAAGGGAAGCGUCUUCUGGCCCCCAUGCCCCCGGCAGGCGGCGCAUCUCGGCGGGAUGCUUGCAAUUGAAGGAGUUUCCUUCCGCAAGCCCAGGCCGUCAAAGCCGCCUUCAUAGUGCCUCAUGGGUGCUCCGUGCCAUUCUGUCUCAUCAAACGACUACGGAGG